AGUCGCACUAAAUGUUUAGUACUUUUGAAAUGAUUUACAGGAAGCUUGUGUGAGUAACUGUUACAUUUUUUCAUUAACUAGUAAUAAUAAACCAGUAAUUACUUACAGACUUAUUGCCGAUUCACAAUUGAUCAUUCAAAAACAGAAUUUAUGCUAUUAAAGCUAAAAAUUUGGAUUGGUACUUUUACUUUGAAAGGAUAUUGAUGACACCUGUGCAGGUAAUUUCUAAACUUUAAGAUUGUCAUAUCAUAUAGUCACAAUACACCAGCUAAACGCAGAAAUAUUGCCAUUUUUAGCUAAAGAUCCGAAAUGGGGCUUUUAUUUUGAAAGGAUGUGGAGACGCUGUGUGUGCUUAAUAGCUAAACUGGAAAACAGUCACAUUAACCAGUCACGAUUACCCAUUCAAAAGCAUAAAUAGUCCUGUUAAAGGUAAUAAUUUGGAUUGGUGCUUUUAUUUUGAAAGAAUAUGGAAAAGGCCCGUGCAGAUAUUUGCUAAACAGUAUAUUAGUCUAAAUAACUAGUCAUAAUAUACCUGUUGAAAGCAGAACUAUUGUUAUCUUUAGCUAAAGAUCAGGAUUGGGGCUUUUAUUUUGAAAGGAUGUAGAGGGGCUGUGUGUGCUUAAUAGCUAAACUGUAAAACAGUCACACUAACCAGUCAUGAUUACCCAUUCAAAAGCAUAAAUAGAAAAGCCAAAAAGUUGGAUUGGUGCUUUUAUUUUGAAAAAUUCAGAGGAAGUGUCUGAUAAUUUACUAAACAAUCAGUGUAAUGAUGUAAUCAAUAAUAUGCAUAGAGCUAAGUAAAAACUGUGUCUGUAGUGACGAGUUAAAGACAGAAGUUGUAUCUUUAAAAAGCGUUCCCUCGCACUCUAGCUGUGACAUCACGCACUCUAGCUCACGCAAUACACACUAAUGGAAAAGUUGAGAAACAAACCAGUUGAAAGCAGAAAUAUUGCUAUAUUAUAUCUAAUUAACUAUUUGUAAUUAAUCAGUUGAAACAUUACUUAAACGAGCUAAUGAGUUGAAUGUAUAGCUGAUUGGAUCUGCAAAACAAAAGGUGCAAGCCAAGGACUGAAGCCAUUGAACCACAGUAUAUACUGUAGUCUGUAGUUGAAAGAGGACUCACUGUAGCUAAAGAGCUUUUUUCCACAUGGAGAGAGAUGUGUGUGUGUGUGUGUGUGUGUGUGUGUGUGUGUGUGUGUGUGUGUGUGUGUGUGUGUGUGUGUGAAUAUAACAUAUUUAUUGGUUCAAACAACGACUUGCGAGUUGCAACAGUCCCAAAACAGUGGACCUAAAGCAAAUGAGAAUAUUUUAUUACAAAAUCAUGCAUCAAUCAUUGCAAUUUCAAGUUUAACAUAUUGUAGUGGCUCACAGCAGUAAGUCCCGCCCUGAGCCGCUAAGGCUUACGGGUAAAACAACCGUUCUUGUGUUUGUAGUGUUAUAGUUAAAGUUAGGAUUCAAAAAUUGUUAUAACUUGUGAACGUGUGAAAAGGAAAUGGUGCUUGCUUUCUACAAAGGUAGUGCACCAAGCGGUGCUGUUAUUUUGUGUCUCAUUACCUGCACAGUCUAAUUUAAGCAGCUGAGACACGAAUGAUAUCACCUGUAGAUAAGUACAGGGUUUAUUUGGGCCUUCAGUUAAUUGGCCUCUUCACCUGAGCCAAAUGUGCAUAGUUCAUUAAAGAAUGAAAAUGCAUUAUUGAUUUUUUAUUUUACAAGCUGGAGGAUAAAGCUGAAAAGCAUUCUGUGAUUUAAAAAAAUUGAAAUAAAAAAAAGUAUUGUAUUUCAACACAAAGAUUAGUCUCUUAUGUCAAUAUGAAGAGCCUAAUUAAAAAAUUAUGCAUCAUUAAGGGUCACUCCUAUUAACACCACGUUCUGUUAUGGUGCAUUACCUACAUGCAUUGUGCUAUAAAUUUGCAUAUAUUGUUGAACGCUGUAAUGUUGACUUAAUUUCUUAAAAACACCCCCUCAACUAUUAGACAGACCGGGGGCCCGUUUCAAGAAGGAGGUUUUGUGGAAACUCUGAGUUUGUUAACCCUGAAAUGAGGAAAACUCUGAGUUUUCGGUUUCAGAAAGCGGGGUUACUUAAACCCGUAAAGCGGGGUAAGUUUAAGCCUGUUUCAAGAAGCGAGGUAAUCGAAACUCAGAGUCAGUUACUUUGGCAACUGACUCUGUGAACCAAACCUGGUCGCGAGCAGGUUUUAUUCGGGAAACCCAGAGUUUCCUUCGGUCUCCGUCCCUUUUUAAAGUGAACAGUGUUUAAAUACCUCGUUUAAUCUUUCAGUUCAUUCAUAGAUUUCACCUGUUUCCUUCGCGCAGAGACCAAAAUGUCCGUUUCUAGAGGAUCCUGUAGAUGAGGACGCUGUAUUAAUUCACACGGCAUUGAAUUUACGCCGCGAGAGGAUUUUAACGCCACGAGUUAAUUUUCUGUCAUAUCGCCGUGCAUAUUUUUUUGAGCGGUAACGUUUUUCUCGAGACUCCAUACAUAUAUUUAUAAUAUUAUUCACCCAUACGUCAAACACAUCACCCUUCGUGGCCGUGCUUUUACAUCCGAACAGAUUCUUUGUGUUGCGUUACGUUUUUUUUUUUGCAAACGGUAGUUUUCUUUAUAACUUUGGAGAUGCUGAGCACAUUAGUGAAGCCACUGUGUUAGAAAGUUCGACCUCAAGCGCUUUCCUUGACACAAACUCCUUAAAGCCAUUAAAGAGGAGUUUUCACAGGAUUGCAGGUAUGUGGUAAUUUGUUUCAUUGAGGCUAAUCUGAAAAAUGAUGAUCAGUUAAUAAUAUCUUGCUGUGAUCUGAAAUAAACUGAUAAAUGUGCAGGUGCACUGACUACUCUUUCUAAUGGUCACUGUAACUGACGUAUCAUUGUUUACAUCACCAAGAUCAUAUGUGAUGCUGCACAUAUCAUAAACGUGAACUCAUGAAUAUAUCGUGAGUCAACCCUAAAUAACAGGCUGCACUGUGGUAAGUACAUGUAUGUCCUAUACACUUAUUUCAAUGCAUGCACUACACACUCACAGGAACACUUCUAUGCAGCACUAAACUAAUGUGAACUUUCUUCUAGGAGAGAUUGACGACUUUCUGCUGGAGAUAAGGGUUAAUGGCAGCCCACACUACUGACCCCUCAGCCAGAACCUGAAGCAGGCCCCCAGCAGCGCUUUGUCACUGCAGAACAAGAGCCCGGGUGGAAAUGACCAUAGACCUGUUGAAAGCACGUCUUCAGUGCCUACGUCACCUCAGGGUAACAGCUGAGAGGCCUGUGACAUUAAUGUGGCAUGUGUUGUUCUCCACAUUAUUGCAAUUAUUAGAGAGAAGCAACACCCUGCCCUACAAAUACAGGACCCUGAGGAGACUCCUUCCAUCACAGUGAUCUGCAGAGUGGAUGGACAGAUUUGCUUUAAUGUCUUAAUCAACCAUCACCACCACCAAUAAAAGAAACUGAAUAGAUGUAAAUCAUAAUUUAUUUUUUUUUCAUUUCCUACAAAUACAAAGGCAAUUGUUAGAUUUUAUGAUUCUUCCAAUAAUUCAUACAAUUCACCUUUAACUAUACACUCAUCUCCAGCUUGUGUUUGGGAAUUUCAAUUUCUAGAUCUGGCUUUUCAAUCUUGUGGUACAAGUAUAACAUUUCCUUGAGAUUACGUUUAUACAACUCUGUAACCGGUAACUUAAAAUACAGAAGAUUUAGAGUUACAUGACAUCUUGACAUGACAUGUUCCUCAUUACUCUUACAGAAUUGAACUCUGGCAUUUACUGAACAUCACUGAACUGUGUGCAUCUGUGCAGCAGAAUGUGACUGACUAUACUUGGAGACACUAUACUUGGAGAUCAAGUUAAAUCCUUUAGGCUACGCAACACAAACAUCAGAAAUCAUGUGAUGUGUAUAAACUCUAUUAAUAUUACACUUUAUAAUACUGCUUAUAAUUUAAGCUUUAUUUAGUAGUAUACUUACAACAUCCUGGGUCAGAGGUGGAGGUGCAGGUCCUCCACCAGUUGUUCGAGCCUCUGCCUUCUUUCUGUUGGCUGAGUAGAAGUCAAAUGUUUAACUGUGUGAAAACAUUACAACCAUGUUGAAAAUGCUGCUGCACUACUAUACUCUGCAUGCUAUUUAGUUAUUUAAUAUGUCAAAUAUUGUAAAGUCAGGUAGUCUACACCCAUGACAUGAUGGUGCCUUAUACCUGUUUGAAUUAUGUUUUUACAUUUCAUUUUUAGCCACGUUCUGUCUGCAGGAUUGCGCCUACAUAAAAACUUAAAUUAAUUUCUUAUAUUAUUACGUGUUUUGGGUAAAUUUUAAAAACGUAAUUAGAUUAAUGUAAUAAUUGCUCUCCAUAAAAGGUAUUGGAUUAUUGAAUUAUCAUUACUUUACAAAUCCCACAUCAACCACAACAGGAAUUUUAAAAAUGCAUAGACAUAACACUGCACUUUUAAUUCAUACAAACGUCGGUAUUUGCAAUUACUGAAGUAACGCCUUAGAUGAGUGAAAAAGUCCUUACUUUACGAGUGAAAAAUAACAAUACUAAAAUUAUUUAGUAUUUAGUUACGCUGAACACUAUGAUUAAAAUGUAAACUUACGCAUUGACUCAAGGAGCUAUUUUCUUCCAAGCUAAUUCUUUCUCUUUCACCGCUGCAGCCGUGUUGCCUUUUCUACGGAAUAUAGACUCGUAGACGCUAUAUGCUUGAGGUAUCAUAUCCAUUUCCGGACCUCUUUUGUUGUGCUGUUGCCAUGGUGACUCGUAAUAUCUUCACUCCAUUGAUCAGGGCUUUGUACGCGCUUAACUCUGAGUCAGUCAACUCGGAGUUGCUUAAACCAACUCUUAUCAGCUGUUUUGAAACCGAAAACUCCAGGUUUGUAAACUCAGAGUAAAUCAACUCAAAGUUUAGUUUAAACUCAGAGUUUGUUAAACCUCCUUCAUGAAACGGGCAACAGGUAGUUUAAAAAAAGCUAAAGAUGUAUGUCUACACCUGCUCUUAUGGGGAAUCAACAAUGCAAUGAACUCAUCAAUAAUAUGCAUAGAGCUGCUUUGAGCAUUAGGACUUUGACUUGUAAGUCAAAGUGCUACUGAGCUCAAUCCCUUAUCUGCUGCAGCUGCGCCGUUGUCAUGGAACAGGCUUCAAUGAGCAUUAAGGAUAGUUCAAAGAGAUCUGACGAAAGAGAAGAGAAGAGAAGAGAAGAGAAGAGAAGAGAAGAGAAGAGAAGAGAAGAGAAGAGAAGAGAAGAGAAGAGAAGAGAAGAGAAGAGAAGAAGAAAUGCUAAAAUGAAGAAAGUAUGUAAAGGAUUGCUGAACUUGAUGAAACAUAGUUGAAUGUAUCUAAAUAGGUAAAUAGAGUCCAAGAGCUGAAAGAAUAGUUGAAUGUUGUGGAAACAUUUAAAACAGCUGACAGUAGCUGCUAAUUAACUAUUUCUAAUAAUCAGUUGAAACAUUACUGAAACUAGCCAAUGAGUUGAAUGUAUAGCUGAUCUGAUCUGCAAAGAAGUUGCAGAGCUAAAUGUGAAGAAAUAAAACAAAAGCAGAUUGAUUUCAAUAAAAACUAUAAAGUGUUUCACACAUGACUACAGUGCUGUAAAGGCUUCUUCUGAAAAUUGUUGAAAUACUUGUUCCAGUCAGGUUUCGAACCAAGAAUUCCUAAAUCAGAGUCAUGCUCUUUAGCUACUCAGACACAUUACCUGCUUAAAUCAGUGCUCAGACGAGCUGUAUACAUACUACUGGAAAAACUGAAACUUUCUAAAUUUUUUUAUAUAUAUAAUAUAGAUUACUAAUAUAGUAACACAUUAAGCUUCCAUCCAUGUUCCAUACCGCUUAAUUCCAUCGGCGGGUUCGUGGGGGUGCUGGAGCCUAUGGGUGAUAGGCAGCGUACACCCUGGACAGGUCACCAUCCCAUCGCAGGGCUAAUACAUUAAGAAUAUAGAUCAAUUUAUCUAGGAAAUACAAACACUUGUAUUACAAUGAUUGCAUGAUCAUGAGUCAGACAGGAAUCGAAACAAGAACCCUCGCUCCAAAGACAAGAACUUACACCAUUCAGCUAAGGGAUAUAACAAGCAAAUGACGACAUAGCUGAAGAGCUUCCUCCAGAUGGAAAGAAAUGCUUAGUCAUUUUAACAUGUUUAUUUUUUUAAACAAAGACUUGAAUGUUACAACAGUCUCAAAGGUGUAAACCCAAGCAAAUGAGAAUAUUUAAAUACAAAAUCAUGCAUCAAUCAUUGCAAUUUCAGUUUUAACAUAUUGUAGUGGCCCACAGCGGUUAGUCUUUUUUUUGUGUUCUUUUUUUUAUAUUUUACAGUAUAAUAAAAACCCACACUGAGUUAUAUAUUUAAUAUAUCAGCAACUUUUGGCUAUAUUAUAAAAGGAUCAUUUGUCACUAGUCAUUAACACUGUUUUACAAUUACAUACAUCCAUAUGAACAAAUCACUAACGAACUGGGGCGCUUGCUGCUCCCUACAGAGACUGCGCUCUGCUGACACGUGACAAGUGAACGAACGAACGAUCCAUAUGAAUGAAUCAUAUGAACUGUAGUACUUGGUGCUGCCAGAGAGCCUGAGCUGUGAACGAUGAACAAUAAUGAUGAACUAAACCGUGCAGCCCGAGCUGCCUUUCACGUGGCGGCUGGUAGUGAACAAGUGAAAGUAAAACUUAUUUUGACAAUUAGUGAGACUUUUAAAGCAAAAAGUAACAAUAACUUCCUUAAAAUAUUUACCUGGUGCAUUUAUCUUGGCCAAAAUGUGACAUUAUUAUUAUUGUUUUUUUUUUUAUAUAUUUUGGCAGAAUAUACAGGACCACAAAAACAACAUGUUGAUAUGUUGAUAUAAUGUUUGCAAGUAUUUAUUUACAAACACACUUUACAUUAUAUACACAAUUAAACUACACACAUCUACAAGAAUCAAAGACCGCUAAUUAAUUAUGAUUCCAUGAAUAAAUAAUGCAUGUCAGGCGUCAGGUGAUAAAUAAAUAAACGUCAGAAACCAGACAUGGUUCAUGGACGCCCAGCUUUUACAAAAUGGUAGUAGAAGUUAAACAACAGCAUUCAUUACCCAAAAAUAUGAAUCCAGCCUUUAUGAGCCUGCUCCAAAUACCUGGAAAAGACCCUACACUCCCAUCAAGUUAUAGACCAAUUUCACUAAUAAAUGUAGAUUUAAAAAUAGUGUG